rnacentral:misc_RNA from 1 species
UCCGGUUUGUCACCGGCAGUCUCAUUAGAGUGCCCUUUCGUAGCAACUAAUGACAAGGGUUGCGCUCGUUGCGGGACUUAACCCAACAUCUCACGACACGAGCUGACGACAGCCAUGCAGCACCUGUGUUACGGCUCUCUUUCGAGCACACCUCGAUCUCUCGAAGCUUCCGUACAUGUCAAGGGUAGGUAAGGUUUUUCGCGUUGCAUCGAAUUAAUCCACAUCAUCCACCGCUUGUGCGGGUCCCCGUCAAUUCCUUUGAGUUUUAGCCUUGCGGCCGUACUCCCCAGGCGGGAUGCUUAACGCGUUAGCUACGUUGCCGCAGGGGUCAAUACCCGCGACACCUAGCACUCAUCGUUUACAGCGUGGACUAC